rnacentral:rRNA from 1 species
UACGUAGGGGGCAAGCGUUGUCCGGAAUCAUUGGGCGUAAAGCGCGUGUAGGCGGCUUCGUAAGUCCGUUGUGAAAGUCCAGGGCUCAACCCUGGAAUGCCGAUGGAUACUGCGGAGCUAGAGUCCGGAAGAGGCGAGUGGAAUUCCUGGUGUAGCGGUGAAAUGCGCAGAUAUCAGGAGGAACACCAAUGGCGAAGGCAGCACUCUGGGACGUGACUGACGCUGAGACACGAAAGCGUGGGGAGCAAACAGG